ACGGCGAGUGAGCGGCAAAAGCUCAAAUUUGAAAUCUGGUACCUUCGGUGCCCGAGUUGUAAUUUGGAGAGGGCAACUUUGGGGCCGUUCCUUGUCUAUGUUCCUUGGAACAGGACGUCAUAGAGGGUGAGAAUCCCGUGUGGCGAGGAGUGCGGUUCUUUGUAAAGUGCCCUCGAAGAGUCGAGUUGUUUGGGAAUGCAGCUCUAAGUGGGUGGUAAAUUCCAUCUAAAGCUAAAUAUUGGCGAGAGACCGAUAGCGAACAAGUACAGUGAUGGAAAGAUGAAAAGAACUUUGAAAAGAGAGUGAAAAAGUACGUGAAAUUGUUGAAAGGGAAGGGCAUUUGAUCAGACAUGGUGUUUUGUGCCCUCUGCUCCUUGUGGGUAGGGGAAUCUCGCAUUUCACUGGGCCAGCAUCAGUUUUGGUGGCAGGAUAAAUCCAUAGGAAUGUAGCUUGCCUCGGUAAGUAUUAUAGCCUGUUGGGAAUACUGCCAGCUGGGACUGAGGACUGCGACGUAAGUCAAGGAUGCUGGCAUAAUGGUUAUAUG
rnacentral:rRNA from 1 species